rnacentral:tRNA from 31 species
GGCCCGUUGGUCAAGUGGUUAAGACACCGCCCUUUCACGGCGGUAACACGGGUUCGAAUCCCGUACGGGUCACUA